AUUAAGCUGACGAAUCCCAAAUAGAACGAAACGUGUGUCCUGGAU
rfam:Schistosoma rodhaini strain Burundi genome assembly, scaffold: SROB_scaffold0002802